UUGGAGGGCAAGUCUGGUGCCAGCAGCCGCGGUAAUUCCAGCUCCAAUAGCGUAUAUUAAAGUUGUUGCAGUUAAGAAGCUCGUAGUUGAAUUUCUGCCUUAUCAUUAAUUUCGCUUCCGAACGUAAUUUUAUUGAUUUGGCAUCUUCUGGAUUAUAUAUUAUUUUUAAUAUAUUUUUCCAGUAUUUUACUUUGAGAAAACUAGAGUGUUUCAAACAGGCUUUUGCCUUGAAUACUACAGCAUGGAAUAAUGAAGUAGGACUAUUGGUUCUAUUUUGUUGGUUAUCGAACCAUAGUAAUGGUUAAUAGGAGCAGUUGGGGGCAUUCGUAUUUAACUG
rnacentral:rRNA from 1 species